CAGCCCCGGAGCCCGGGCCAGGGUCCACCUGUCCCCGCAGCGCCGGCUCGCGCCCUCCUGCCGCAGCCACCGAGCCGCCGUCUAGCGCCCCGACCUCGCCACCAUGAGAGCCCUGCUGGCGCGCCUGCUUCUCUGCGUCCUGGUCGUGAGCGACUCCAAACGAACUGUGACUGUCUAAAUGGAGGAACAUGUGUGUCCAACAAGUACUUCUCCAACAUUCACUGGUGCAACUGCCCAAAGAAAUUCGGAGGGCAGCACUGUGAAAUAGAUAAGUCAAAAACCUGCUAUGAGGGGAAUGGUCACUUUUACCGAGGAAAGGCCAGCACUGACACCAUGGGCCGGCCCUGCCUGGCCUGGAACUCUGCCACUGUCCUUCAGCAAACAUACCAUGCCCACAGAUCUGAUGCUCUUCAGCUGGGCCUGGGGAAACAUAAUUACUGCAGGAACCCAGACAACCGGAGGCGACCCUGGUGCUAUGUGCAGGUGGGCCUAAAGCCGCUUGUCCAAGAGUGCAUGGUGCAUGACUGCGCAGAUGGAAAAAAGCCCUCCUCUCCUCCAGAAGAAUUAAAAUUUCAGUGUGGCCAAAAGACUCUGAGGCCCCGCUUUAAGAUUAUUGGGGGAGAAUUCACCACCAUCGAGAACCAGCCCUGGUUUGCGGCCAUCUACAGGAGGCACCGGGGGGGCUCUGUCACCUACCUGUGUGGAGGCAGCCUCAUCAGCCCUUGCUGGGUGAUCAGCGCCACACACUGC
rnacentral:sRNA from 1 species